rnacentral:rRNA from 1 species
AGUGAACGCUGGCGGUAGGCCUAACACAUGCAAGUCGAACGGCAGCACAGGAGAGCUUGCUCUCUGGGUGGCGAGUGGCGGACGGGUGAGGAAUACAUCGGAAUCUACUUUUUCGUGGGGGAUAACGUAGGGAAACUUACGCUAAUACCGCAUACGACCUACGGGUGAAAGCAGGGGACCUUCGGGCCUUGCGCGAUUGAAUGAGCCGAUGUCGGAUUAGCUAGUUGGCGGGGUAAAGGCCCACCAAGGCGACGAUCCGUAGCUGGUCUGAGAGGAUGAUCAGCCACACUGGAACUGAGACACGGUCCAGACUACUACGGGAGGCAGCAGUGGGGAAUAUUGGACAAUGGGCGCAAGCCUGAUCCAGCCAUACCGCGUGGGUGAAGAAGGCCUUCGGGUUGUAAAGCCCUUUUGUUGGGAAAGAAAUCCAGCUGGCUAAUACCCGGUUGGGAUGACGGUACCCAAAGAAUAAGCACCGGCUAACUUCAUGCCAGCCGCCGCGGUAA